CUUCUGCUGGGUGCCUGCAGUGACAGAGAAGAAAAGCCAGGGACUCGAACAAGGCUCAGGCCACAUCAUGAGCUUCCUGAGCUCCAGCUCUAAAUUGUGACCCCUGUGUGGGACUUUGUGGGCUGUGGACACAGAGCUAGGGUGUGGCAAUGCUGGGUGACACUCCCCCUGUUCCCCAGGAGCCCUUCCAGAAGGUGGUGCCCUCUCAGUGUCUGGGCUCCACCCGGGGCAAGAGGAACAAGCCCGGCAAUGAGCACCUGGCACACACCGUCCGGGCCAAUAUCGACCACUUCAGAAGGGUGGCCAACCACGUCAUCACCACCUGCCUCGGGGUCCCGAGCAUGAUGGCCCAGGACAGGGCGAGGGUGGUGGAGCGCUGGAUCCAGGUGGCCCAGGAGUUCGAGAUCCUGAAGAACUUCUCCUCGCCCCGCACUGUCAUCUCUGCUCUGCAGAAAACAUCCAUAUGCCACUUGAAGAACACAUGGGGGAAGUUUCCUGGGAGAGCUCUGAAAAAUUUAAGGAGAGCUAUAGCCAAGACGUGUCCUUGAACAGAGAACUGAUGACCAAGGAGGGGCCCUCCACGUUUGCCCCCCGGAGAGCAACCCCCAGAGAGUGUAGGAGAAGCAGCAGCAGCAGCAGGGUGUUGUCCCCUAUCUUGGCACUUUCCUCGGUGACCUGCUGAUGCUGCACCUGGAGAUGGGUGAUUAUCUCGAAGUGGAUGAAUCUGAGGACCAGGCAGGAAGGACCAGGAUCCUGAGCCUGGGGAUGCGUGAGCCCCCGAACUGAGCACUGAGCUCUCAGCACUUGGCACAUCUCCUCUCAUGAGAGCCUCACAGCCGCCCCUGGGAGCUGGGGCAUCAGGCCCAUCUUAGGGAUGAGUGAACAGAGGCUCCGCCUGAGACAUCCAUUCUCGUUCCUCAGGCUGGGGAAGCUCAGAGCUGCCUGAUGGCACAGCUGCGUGAGGUUUUAUCUGAGCUGGACUCUGCCUGUCCCUCCCAUGCUGCCCGUGGAGGGAGAGAGAAGUUGGGACCCCCAAGUCAGGCAGCACAUAAGUGGCUGAGCAGUCGCCUCUGCCUGAGGCCUCAGCCUCCAAGUCUGUCAUCAGAGAGGGUUGUGCUGCCAGGUACCUCAGCCUCCCCCCAUGUCCUACUACUCUGGAGCCCAGAGCCCAUCCUAGGUCCAAGUCCUGUUUUCUCUGCAUGCCCCGCCCCCUCUGGGGACUUGGCAGUAGUGCCACAUGAGAAG